UUGCCAGCCGCUCAGGUGUGCCAGCCGCCGCGGUAAUACGGAGGAUGCGAGCGUUAUCGGAUUUAUUGGGUUUAAAGGGUGCGUAGGUGGUUAAUUAAGUCAGCGGUGAAAGUUUGUGGCUCAACCAUAAAAUUGCCGUUGAAACUGGUUGACUUGAGUAUAUUUGAGGUAGGCGGAAUGCGUGGUGUAGCGGUGAAAUGCAUAGAUAUCACGCAGAACUCCGAUUGCGAAGGCAGCUUACUAAACUAUAACUGACACUGAAGCACGAAAGCGUGGGGAUCAAACAGG
rnacentral:rRNA from 1 species